rnacentral:rRNA from 1 species
CGGAGGAUCCAAGCGUUAUCCGGAAUCAUUGGGUUUAAAGGGUCCGUAGGCGGGUUUAUAAGUCAGUGGUGAAAGCCCAUCGCUCAACGAUGGAACGGCCAUUGAUACUGUAGAUCUUGAAUUAUUAGGAAGUAACUAGAAUAUGUAGUGUAGCGGUGAAAUGCUUAGAGAUUACAUGGAAUACCAAUUGCGAAGGCAGGUUACUACUAAUGGAUUGACGCUGAUGGACGAAAGCGUGGGUAGCGAACAGGAUUAGAUACCCUGGUAGUCCACGCCGUAAACGAUGGAUACUAGCUGCUCGGAGCAAUCUGAGUGGCUAAGCGAAAGUGAUAAGUAUCCCACCUGGGGAGUACGUUCGCAAGAAUG